rnacentral:rRNA from 1 species
UGCGUAGGCGGGGCAAUUAGUCAGUGGUGAAAUCCUGCGGCUUAACCGUAGAACUGCCAUUGAUACUGUUGCCCUUGAGUAUAGUUGAAGUGGGCGGAAUGUGUAAUGUAGCGGUGAAAUGCAUAGAGAUUACACAGAACACCAAUUACGAAGGCAGCUCACUAAGCUAAAACUGACGCUGAGGCACGAAAGCGUGGGGAGCGAACAGGAUUAGAUACCCUGGUAGUCC